AGUAACAUGCCUGAUAAAAGGGAUAUUUUGAUGAAAUACUUAUGUAAAACUUUACUGUUACUA
rnacentral:tRNA from 1 species